ensembl:lncRNA
CUCGGCACAGCGCUGGGAUGCAUGGAGGUCAGAGAAGGCUGUGAAGAGACAGGAAAAUCGCCUUCCCCCACGCAGGUCUCUGCGGCUGGUGACCGUCUUCCCAGUGAAUGCACAGACAGAACCCACAGCACAGUGCCCAGAGGAGGAGAGGAGACCAACAGGCUUUUUAUCCACCUUUGUGAGUGGCCGAGUCUCCUCGGCUGUCACUUCACGAGACGGGAGCAGAACCACGUUGAAUGAGCACCAUCUGCUUCUGUGCCCAUGGCCCUCAUGGAAUUGCUUCCAGCUCUUUGUUGAAGAGAUGAAAUAUGAUGACACUCCCUGAAUCGGAUCCUUGCUGCAGUUUUCAGCUCUCUGGGCGUUCUCACUUCAAAGACCCUAAGCAUCUCACGACUGAGGUAUGAAGCCUUGCAUGAUGUCGA